GUCACUAACUAAGCCACUAUGUGGUUCUCAUGUGGGGAUGUGUGGGGAAAGGGCUGGUGAGGUGGUCUAGAGAGAAAAGAUACAUUUGAGUUUGCAUUAUAGGAAGAAAGUCUAAUGGGACAAUGGAGCAUGCCCUGGGACUUGAAGCCUCAGUUUAUGCAAGGACCUACUUUCUGUCACCUGCUUUGGAUGGGAUUUCAGAUACCUUCUCCCAAUCGUCUGUCCAUCUGACCCUGCCCAGCCUCCCUCUCCCUACUCUUGCCCAGUGAUUACAGUUUCCUACUCCACCUUG